UUCGCUUUAUUCGAAAGAAGAGAAACUAACAAGGCGGCUUGGGGUGAUUGAUAAAGGCAUAAGAAGUCAUAUAAAAAUGGUGUGGAUCCCUUUAUUCAAAUAUUACGAAUCGAAAUCGCAGUUCGGAUCCAAAUCACAGACCCCAACGUGUUUCGUGAUCCAGCAGGGGAAGUCGAGGCGCGAAACAGGAGCUCUAGGGUUCGAGGGGAGGAGGCGAAGAGAAAAUGGCCCCAAAGAUGAUUGCUUUUGGAAAUAUCCUUGACGGUAAGGGGAGCAAGGAUUGAGGGAAGGUGGAGGAUUCAAGUGGUUAUUUUUUACCACUUCUCUGUUGCUUUGAUUGGACCUGAACUCUUGGGUGGUACAUGAGAGGUCUUUCUACUUGUGGGUGCUAAAACUCUUUCCAUAUGACCAACUCCAGAGCCGUCUCUUGCACUGGCUUGCUGUUUUAUCUUUUGGCUUUUCCAAGUAGAAUAUUGUAAGUAAUUAAGAUGGAUUGCCUAAACUUUAUCUUCUGUUGCAGCUUUUGUUUCAAGUGGAAUCCUUACUGGUUGCAUAUAUUCUGGCAUGUGCUAUUUACAUGGUUACUUGAUAUAUGCAGUGGUUACCGUUCAAUGUUUAUUACAGCGACUGGUAUGCAUUUGUCAUUACCUAUUGGUAGACAAAACUUAUGCUGCUGCCACCUUCGGUUGUUACUAAGAAACCAAAUAGUUUAGAUAAAAGUGAGUCACCCUAAAAAGAAGGUUGCAAGGUGUUUCAACUGUCGAGGAUGAUACUAACCUCACACAAAUAGAAUAUGUUAUAAUUAAUUCUCAUUAAAUGAAACUUCUGAAUACACUUUAGAGUUGCUUAUUUAAGCAUAUUAAUUUUUUGGUUUCCCUUGGUCAUUUGUUCAAAGUGUGAUCGCAAUUGCAGAUUGCUGAAGUUAGCAUGCAUUAUUCUGGCUAAAGCUCACUGAUCGUGUCAUACCUUUGUGUAAUUUUAUUUGCAUCAUGUUUAUGAACUGGGCAAUGAUAUAACUUUUUUUUAAGAUUUCUAUUUUGCAGAUGAUCGAUGAUCAAGAUUUGGGAUUUUUUGCUAAUUUUCUUGGCAUAUUUAUACUUGUUUUGGUAAUUGCGUAUCAUUAUGUGAUGGCCGACCCAAAGUAGGAAGAAACUCAAGCUCGGGAUAGUAGUCUUGUAGAAAGCAAGUAGAACUUACCGGGGGACUAACAUCUAAAUGACGGUCAUCUGUGUUUAUAUUGAUAUGGAUGUAAUACUUUUGAUCCAGGAUCUAGUUAGAAUUUCACAUUUUCUUCAUAAUUGAGGACUUUAAGUAGUAUACUUA